ACGAACACAUGAAAAUACAGAUGUUACUGAACAGCAGCACCUGAAUCCACAAAAACCUGGGAAAGAAUAGUUAAAAAGGUGAAAGUGUUUAUUUCCUGUUUCCUAUGAACUGCCAGAAAAGAGGAAAGACCGAGUUAGUAGUACAGGGACCUGUAAUCAUGUCAGCGAGCUACAGCGACUCUGCUGUCACUGUGUACCCUCUCUGCAGAUACCACAUCUUGAACGUGUGUUUGUGAUUGCCUAAUUACCAAACUACUUAACGUCGUGGCAACGCGGUCUGCUGUUCUUGUUUGAAAUAUUGUAACUGUAGCUGUGCUCUGUUUGAUGAACCAUAAAAGAUGUGCUUUGAACAGUAACAAGUAGCUCCAAAGAGCUGCUGAUAAACAGAGUAAGUGAAGUCCUAUUUUGAGUUUAAGUCAGUGGGUAAGUUAUUAGUAAAAUGUUGGAUGUCUGGUUGGAAACAUGCCUGACACAUUUAUCCUUCUUACAUGGCAAACUGCUUUGGUUUCACAAACACACAACAACAGUGAUUAUUCUGAACCAGCUGUUUUACACUAAUGUGUCACUACGUGUGUUGAGCUCAGGAAACAUGAGGUGGACACAGUGAAGAAAGCUGGCAGAACAAAGACUUGAGCAUGCUUUCAUUCAUGCAGAACAUUACCUGCUGAUAAAUACUUUCCCAUAGAAAGAAAAGCAGGUAAGUGUGCCUGUUUCCUCUGUUGUAGAGACAGAAGGAUAGAGAACAGCAGGCAGAGCCUAAGUUUAUCUGGCAGCAUGCUGAGAAUGGGACUGAGAGGAAGGAGGAGCACCUUCCCCACAGACAUUGCCUGGACCGUCAUCUUGUCUGCCAACACAAUCAGGUGAGGCGGGGUGACUGAGUAACAGCUAUAACCUAAACAGAAUAUGUACCUCUCCACCAUAGUGGUAUAACUUCAUGCCUUCACAGAGAACGGGGUGUUUUGUUUUGUGACAGGAGUGUGAGCUGACUGAUGGAUGCUCUCUGUCAUCCUGAAAUAACUGUGGUACGCUUGUUUUGCUGCAGACACAGGAGAAAAGGGUCUGCUGCAGCUCAGCGGCAAACAGCAAAGCAGCGAGAGAGCUGUCGAGCCGCGAACAGCCAACGCUCGCCGCCCACUCCAUCUUUUAAAAGAGGCUUUAAGGUCUUCGUAAACAGUUUCCAUAGCAACGUGGUAGCGUUUGGCGCUAAGCUCAGCUUGUCAACAGUCUUGACUGGUUAGAAAUGAUGCCAGCGAGGUAAGACUGUGUUCACUGUGGAAAGGGCUUUGUUUGCUCACAUUAGCUCGUGUAUUACAACCCUUUCCAUGUAUUACAUGUGCUGCAUUUAAAUGGAUCUAAUUUAAAUUUGAUGAAAUAAAAGUCAUAUAAUCAUUAAAUCAUUGUUUUAAUAUUUUGAUAUCACCUCGAGGUUAGACUACUAAAUGUUAAAAGGAGAACUGAUAUUUGAGUUGAGGAGAGUUGGGUGUGUUUCAGCUUAGCUUGUUCAUCUCAUCCCUCCUCCCACCUUCAAAGUGGGCAGCGCGUCCUUAGCUUCCCUGACUGAACAUGCAGACACUUUUUCAAGCAGUUUGAAAAUAUUGCAUUUGUACACUCAGUCGUGUAUUGUGAGGGAUUGUGCAGAACAGCUGGCUGGGAUGUUCACCAGGAUCUUCAACAAAUCCCUCACACAGGUGACUGUCCCACUCUGCCUGAAGUCCUCCACCAUAGUCCCCUUGCCUAAGAAGCCCCACAUGACCAGCCUAAAUGACUACAGACCAGUGGCACUCACCCUAGUAGUAAUAAAAUGGUUUGAGAAGCUGUUCCACAGUCACAGCAGCCCUCCUGCAGCCUGGAUCCACACCAGUUUGCCUACACAGCAAACAGGUCCACGCAAGAUGCCGUAGCCACAGCACUCCAUGCUGCCGUAACACAUCUGGAGCGGGAUGGGAGCUAUGUGCGGAUGCUUUUUGUGGAUUUCUGCUCUGCAUUUAAUACCAUUUCUCCACACAAACUGGUGGUCAAGCUACAGCACCUGGGGCUUCCAUACAGCACCUGCAUGUGGAUCAACAGCUUCCUCCAGGGCCGUAGACCGAGAGUGAGAGUUGGCCACCGCACAUCCUCAGCCCUGAGUUUCACACACAGAGCUGUGUGUUCAGUCCACUGCUCUACUCUCUCAACACACAAGACUGCACCCAUGUCCACCAGAGCAACAUCUUGGUGAAGUUUGCAGACGACACCACCGUGAUGGGGCUCAUCUCCAGGGGUGAUGAGUCUGCUUACAGAGACGAGGUGGAGCAGCUGUCAUCAUGGUGUAAGGCCAAUAACCUCCUCCUUAACACCUUAAAGACUGAAGAACUCAUAAUAGACUUCAGAAGGAAAAAGGCAGAGAUCCAACCACUAUUCAUUAAUGGGGACUGUGUAGAAAGGGUGGCAAGCUUCUGCUUCCUGGGAGUCAACACAGAGGAGAACCUUUCCUACUGGGGGAACCUAUAUAAAUGACAACCGGAAGGAGCGUGUUUGGAGGCGUGGUCUUGCUCCUGAAAUUCCGAUACAUAAUCUCCAAUUCACUAGCUGGGCCCAAGUCCUCAUUUUAGGUUUGACUGCAUUUUAGUAGGUAAAAGUGAAUGCUUUGACAUGAAUUGAGCUACAGUUUGGGGAAGGCCUCGAAGGGGACUGGCGAUGGCUCCCGGGCCUGGCAGAUCCCCAAAGAAGGCAUCCCCUGAAAGCAGUAAUAACUGUGCGUUAUGAAGGUCGACGACCUCAGCGAGAAUAAUUCGAUUUUCAAUUCAACUUAUUUAUUCAGCACCAAACCACAGUGACAGAUGCCUCAAGACCUUACAAUGAUGUCUAGAGGAAAAACCCAACAAUUGUAUGACCCCCUGUGAGCAAGCACUUUGGCAACAGGGGGAAGGAAAAGCUCCCUUUUAACAGGAAGAAACCUCUGGCAGAACCAGGCUCAGGGAGGGGCGGCCAUCUGCCAUGACCGGUUGGGGUGAGAGAAGGAGAACAGGACAAAGACAAGCGCAGGGAGAGCGAACGCCGAGUGACCUCGCCACCCAAACAGGAGGAAAACAACUGGUGGCAGGCUAGUGAAGCUGAACAGCUCUCAAUAAGGUAGUCGAGGAUUCCAUGGAGUGGAGUGGAUAAGCUCGGACAAUUAGGAAGAAAUGGCGAGAGAAGAGGUCAAAGGAAAUUGCGAAAAACAGAAAUCUUAAUAGAUGAAUGAGGGGAACCCUCGAUCAGGUAGCGACAUGGCUCGACUUUGAAAUGAAGCUCUGACAGAGAAGUAUGCUGGAUUUGAGAUUUGAGGUAAGGCUUGACGGUUUGUAAAGCUUGUGUGAGCUUGUGUUUGAGUAAAAGAUGGAGAGGGGGUGCUUAGCUGGUUAAUUACUUCAGAUAAGGUAGUGAUAACUACUGUGCUUAUUUCUGAAAUGAACAGAAGUGACAGCAGCAGCUUGGGGAGGGUUGAUGAAUUGAAAGACUGAUUAGAGGAAAGUCGUCUUCUAUAAUAAUAACCCCCAAAAUCGUCAGAGAGCAGAGUGCGAGUCCACUGAACUUUGUGGGAGAUGAUAAGCUGUUUAGAUGUCGUCGGAACUGUGAGUUGGCUUAGAGAGGGGUCUUGAAUGAUUGUGUCGAGGGUGGAUGCUAGAUAAUGCUUGUGAAAGCACAUGAGAAGUGAAGGGACGCCAUGAAGAAUUAUGCGCACAGCGCAGUUUGGAUGUCUUUAAAGGAGCGAUAGAGGACAGAACCUGGCAUCCCAGUGCCACAAAGGUUCGCUGGUGCUUUGCGAAGGCAGGAAAGAUGGCAAAGAAACUGACAUCUCGGUGCCGGAACAGUUUGCUGCUACAUCUUGUGAAAGACUGGACGAAACGGAGAAACUGGCAUCCUGGUGAAAGGAAUGUUUUGGGGUUUUUUGCGAUUGAUGGCGGAAGCUGCCAAUCCAGUAACGGAAGGGUAAGCUGCUUAGGGAACGGAACCUGGCAUCUCGGUGCAAAGAGCGUUUUCUGCAUUUGCAAAUCAGGAACAGAGACAGAGAACCUGGCGUUUUGGUGCCAAAAGGAACAUCUGCUGCUUAGCAUAUGAGGGCUAGAUGCAGAGAAGCUGGCAUCCCAGCGGUAGAAGGAUUCACUGCUGCUUUGCUGCGAUAAAUGCAGAGAAACUGGCAACUCUAUAUUAGAAAGCUUGCUGCUGAGUUUACGAAUGAGGGAUAAAGAAGAACCAGGCAUCUCGGUGCCAAGUUUGCUAUUGCAUUUGCAAAGGAGGGAUAGAGGAAGAGAAGCUGGCAUCCCGGUGCCAAAGCUUGCUACUGUGUUUGGAUAGGAGGGAUAGAGGAAGAGAAGCUGGCAUCCCGGUGCCAAAGCUUGCUACUGUAUUUGCAUAGGAGGGAUAGAGGAAGAGAAGCAGGCAUCCCGGUGCCAAAGCUUGCUACUGUAUUUGCAUAGGGGGGAUAGAGGAAGAGAAGCAGGUAUCCCGGUGCCAACACUUGCUACUGUAUUUGCAUAGGGGGGAUAGAAGAAGAGAAGCUGGCAUCCUGGUGCCAAUGCUGCUACUGCAUUUGCAUAGGGGCAUAGAGAAAGAGAACCUGGAAUCCCGGUGCCAAAAGCAUGCUGCUGCAUUUUGCCAAUAUGGGAUACGGGAUAGGUGCUGCGAUUGGAUAUGAGGGAAGGACCUUGCAUCCUGGUGCCACGAAAGCAUGUUGCUGAAUUUUGCGAAGGAUGGAUGGAGGAAAGGGAAACUGGCAACGCGUUGGUAGAAGGCUUGCGGCUGCUUUUGUAAAUGAGGGAUAAAGGAAAACCUGGCAACCCAGUGCCUUUUUUUUUUCCCUGUAGAGAAACUGCCCGUUUUGCAAAUGAGAGAUGAGAACUUGGUAUCCGGGGCUAGAAGGAUUCAUUGCUGCUUUUUGCCAUGAUAGAUGCGGAGAAACUGGCAGUUCGGUAGUAGGGAAGCUAGAUGCUGCGUUGCAAAUGGGGGAUGAAGGAAAACCUGGCAACCCAGUGCCUUUUAAUUUUAUUUAUUUAUUUAUUUUGUCUAUGCUGAGAAACUGGCAACCCGAUGGUAGAAAAGCUUGCUGCUGCUUUUGCGAAUGAGGAAUAAAGGAACCUGGCAACUCGGUGCCUAGGUUUGCUGCUGAAUUUUGUGAAGCAGGGAUGAGAGUCUGGGGACCUGGCAACCUGGUGCCGGCGUUUGCUGCAGAAUUUUGCAAAGGAGGGAUGAGUGGCUGGAAACCUGUCAACUCGGUGCCGACGUAUGCUGCAGAGUUUAGCCAAGGAGGGAUGAGAGGCUGGGGACCUGGCAACUCGGUGCUGAGGUUAGCUGCAGAAUUUGCGAAGGAGGGAUGAGAGGCUGGGAGUCUGGCAACCCCAUGCCGACGUUUGCUGCAGAGUUUAGGAGGGGAGGAAUGAGUGGAAUGAGAACCUGGCAACUCUGUGCCAAAGCAUGCUGCAUUUGCUACGGAGGGAUGGAGUCCUUUUUUUUUUUUAGCUGUGCUGAGAAACUGGCAACCCGAUAGUCGAAAAGCAUGCUGAUGCUUUCGCGAAUGAGGAUAAAGGAACCUGGCAACCCGAUGUCGAGGUUAGCUGCAGAAUUUGCGAAGGAGGGUUGAGUGGCUGGGAACCUGGCAACUCGGUGCUGAGGUUUGCUGCAGAAUUUUGCGAAGGAGGGAAGAGGCUGGGGACCUGGCAACUGGGGGCUGCAUUUGCCAUGGAGGAAUGGAGAACUGGUGACUCAGUGCCUUUUUUUUUUUUCCUUUGUGUGUGUGUGUGUGCGUCUUCGCUGAGAAAAUGGGAGUUCGGUGGUAGGAAGCUUGCUGCUGCGUUUGCGAAUGGUGGAUAGGGAAGAAUCAGGCAUCCCAGUGCCAACUUGCUUGAGAAUUUAGCUAAAGGAGGGAUAGAAAACAUCACGGCGAUGGAGAAACAGUAGACCAUGGAGCUAGAGACAGAUUUCCAGCUUGCAUUAAAUGGUGUUAGGAGGAAGGAGCACAGAGCUGAGCUUGUCCCUGCUACCUUGCGCUGGCAGGUGGGUGGAGCUACGAAGUACGCUGUAGCUUUUGCUGUUGGAGCUGCAAUUUGCUUGGAAGCCUGGGUAUGGCGUGGCUUCUGGGUUUGACGCUGACGUCCGUCGGCUUUUCAGCUAACUCGCCCCGCCUGUGGGCCCGUUUCAGAGCGACGUGAGAGGAGCUGCGAGUUCGCCUGGUGGGCAAUCCCGCUGGUUUUCGCUGAAGUGGCGGGUGUCCGGAGUCACUUCAUAACUGAAUUUAGCAGAGAUAAGAUGACUGGAUGGAUCGACGUAGUGGACUGUAUGUUGGGUGGCGAGAAAACUGCUAGAAGGUCGUCAGCAUUCGGUCUCUUGGAAGCGCCGCUGUGACAUUUGGUGUGUUUCUUGGAUUGCCGGAGGAAAAGCGAUAAACGCAGAGCUUGAGUAGUUGUUCAUCUGACAGACGAGAGGGCGACUGUAGCGGAUGGAAGGGAUGAAUGUUGAACCUCUGCUUGAUGGGUGCAGUUACUGCAGGGUGACAGAGGAUGAUAUUCAGGCCAGCCUCAGAAACAUCUUUGAUAACUGUUUCGGUUGGGUCUUGGGUUUUGGGCAACAGCGGUCUUGUGACUCAGACAAA